rnacentral:rRNA from 1 species
UACGUAGGGUCCGAGCGUUAAUCGGAAUUACUGGGCGUAAAGCGUGCGCAGGCGGUUAUAUAAGACAGUUGUGAAAUCCCCGGGCUCAACCUGGGAACUGCAUCUGUGACUGUAUAGCUAGAGUACGGUAGAGGGGGAUGGAAUUCCGCGUGUAGCAGUGAAAUGCGUAGAUAUGCGGAGGAACACCGAUGGCGAAGGCAAUCCCCUGGACCUGUACUGACGCUCAUGCACGAAAGCGUGGGGAGCAAACAGG